AGUGAACGCUGGCGGUAGGCCUAACACAUGCAAGUCGAACGGCAGCACAGUAAGAGCUUGCUCUUACGGGUGGCGAGUGGCGGACGGGUGAGGAAUACAUCGGAAUCUACUUUUUCGUGGGGGAUAACGUAGGGAAACUUACGCUAAUACCGCAUACGACCUACGGGUGAAAGCAGGGGAUCUUCGGACCUUGCGCGAUUGAAUGAGCCGAUGUCGGAUUAGCUAGUUGGCGGGGUAAAGGCCCACCAAGGCGACGAUCCGUAGCUGGUCUGAGAGGAUGAUCAGCCACCCUGGAACUGAGACACGUUCCAGACUCCUACGGGAGGCAGCAGUGGGGAAUAUUGGACAAUGGGCGCAAGCCUGAUCCAGCCAUACCGCGUGGGUGAAGAAGGCCUUCGGGUUGUAAAGCCCUUUUGUUGGGAAAGAAAAGCAGCAGGUUAAUACCCCGCUGUUCUGACGGUACCCAAAGAAUAAGCACCGGCUAACUUCGUG
rnacentral:rRNA from 1 species